UACAGAGGGGGCAAGCGUUGUUCGGAAUUACUGGGCGUAAAGGGCGCGUAGGCGGCCUUCUAAGUCGAACGUGAAAUCCCUGGGCUCAACCCAGGAACUGCGUCCGAUACUGGAAGGCUUGAAUCCGGGAGAGGGAUGCGGAAUUCCAGGUGUAGCGGUGAAAUGCGUAGAUAUCUGGAGGAACACCGGUGGCGAAGGCGGCAUCCUGGACCGGUAUUGACGCUGAGGCGCGCAAGCCAGGGGAGCAAACGGG
rnacentral:rRNA from 1 species